AUGCAGACACUGUUAAAAUACAACUGACGUGUUUUAUUGUCGUUCCCCUGCUUAAAGCACUUGAUGCAUAACUAUCUCUGUAACUCCACUCCGUAGUAAGACAGAGACGCUUGGCUUCAAACAU
rnacentral:snoRNA from 1 species